rnacentral:rRNA from 1 species
AUGCAGUCGAACGCGAAAGUUCCCUUCGGGGAGCGAGUAGAGUGGCGCACGGGUGAGUAACACGUAGGUAAUCUACCUUUGGAUGGGGAAUAACAACCGGAAACGGUUGCUAAUACCGCAUAAUGCAGCGGCACCUAAUGGUGACAGUUGUUAAAGCGGGGGAUCGAAAGACCUCGCGUCUAAAGAGGAGCCUGCGGCGGAUUAGCUAGUUGGUAAGGUAAUGGCUUACCAAGGCGAUGAUCCGUAACCGGCCUGAGAGGGCGGUCGGUCACACUGACACUGACAUACGGGUCAGACUCCUACGGGAGGCAGCAGUCGGGAAUUUUGGGCAAUGGGCGAAAGCCUGACCCAGCAACGCCGCGUGAAGGAUGAAAUCCCUCGGGAUGUAAACUUCGCAAGAACGGGAAGAAUAAGUUGGUGUGAAUAUCACCAGCGAUGACGGUACCGUUUGUAAGCUCCGGCUAACUCCGUGCCAGCAGCCGCGGUAAUACGGGGGGAGCAAGCGUUGUUCGGAUUUACUGGGCGUAAAGGGCGCGUAGGCGGCCACUGCAAGUCGGUUGUGAAAUCUCCGGGCUUAACCCGGAAAGGUCAAUCGAUACUGCAGGGCUAGAGUGCAGAAGGGGCAACUGGAAUUCUCGGUGUAGCGGUGAAAUGCGUAGAUAUCGAGAGGAACACCUGCGGCGAAGGCGGGUUGCUGGGCUGACACUGACGCUGAAGCGCGAAAGCUA